rnacentral:rRNA from 1 species
GAUGAACGCUGGCGGCGUGCCUAAUACAUGCAAGUCGAGCGAACAGACGAGGAGCUUGCUCCUCUGACGUUAGCGGCGGACGGGUGAGUAACACGUGGAUAACCUACCUAUAAGACUGGGAUAACUUCGGGAAACCGGAGCUAAUACCGGAUAAUAUAUUUAACCGCAUGGUUCAAUAGUGAAAUACGGAUUUUCUGUCACUUAUAGGUGGAUCCGCGGCGCAUUAGCUAGUUGGUAAGGUAACGGCUUACCAAGGCAACGAUGCGUAGCCGACCUGAGAGGGUGAUUAGCCACACUGUAACUGAGACACGGUCCAGACUCCUCCGGGAGGCAGCAGUAGGUAAUCUUCCGCAAUGGGCGAAAGCCUGACGGAGCAACGCCGCGUGAGUGAUGAAGGUCUUCGGAUCGUAAAACUCUGUUAUUAGGGAAGAACAAAUGUGUAAGUAACUAUGCACGUCUUGACGGUACCUAAUCAGAAAGCCACGGCUAACUACGUG